rnacentral:lncRNA from 1 species
GUAGAUCCCAACAGGUACUUUUAGAACCUGCGUGGUAGAGCCCAGACAAGUAUGAAUUUUGAAAAAUGAGAAUUCCUGCGGUAGAUCCCAACAGGUACUAUUAGAACCUGACUGGUAGAGCCCAGACGGGUAUACAUUUGAAAAAUGAGAAUUCCUGCGGUAGAUCCCAACAGGUACCAAAACUAACUUAAUUAUCACCCUUAAAUAAAACAAAGCCUUAAUAAUUUAUAAGAUGUAUGAAUGAAUUGGGGGAAAAUAAUUUCCCUGAAAUUAAUUAGGCCAAAUUGAACGAGUAGAAUGAGUGAAAGCCCCCAAGAAAUGAUACACGUACAAAUAUAUAUAGUUAAAAUAAAAAAUAAAAAAUAAUUCAAUAUACCAUUUAAAAGAAUAAGUACUUGAAUAUAAUGUCAUGUAUGAAAAUGAAAACAAACAAAAUAAAAUAACUACAAUACUAAAAUAAUGAACAAAAUGUAGUUCUAGGACUCCUUUGAAGUAGAACAAAACAGGUAUAAGAAUUAGGAACGACACAUUCUGCUUUGUGCUUUGCAAACAGUUGUUGGAUCAGUUAGAAUGUAACGUUAUAUCAAUCAAAUGACCAUCUACCUAAAGUCUGAAUAAUGUGAUCCUCAACCCCUGCUGCUCCUGCUGAUGUAGCAGCACCAAUUCGAAAGGAAUGACCACAAAAUUUACUAUCAUUAUACCCUAAUCUGAGCAGC